rnacentral:rRNA from 1 species
UACGGGGGGAGCAAGCGUUGUUCGGAUUUACUGGGCGUAAAGGGCGCGUAGGCGGCGUGACAAGUCACUUGUGAAAUCUCCGGGCUUAACCCGGAGCGGCCAAGUGAUACUGUCGUGCUAGAGUGCGGAAGGGGCUACUGGAAUUCUCGGUGUAGCGGUGAAAUGCGUAGAUAUCGAGAGGAACACCUGCGGCGAAGGCGGGUAGCUGGGCCGACACCGACGCUGAGGCGCGAAAGCCAGGGGAGCGAACGGG